GUUAUCAUGCUAUUCAGUUUUCUCACAGAAAUACAAAAUGUCGAUGUUAUGUAAAAAAGUAUCGAUAAUCGAUUAAUUGAUUUACAGAAACAUCGACAAAAAUAAUCGAUUAUUAGUAAAAAAACUAUCGAUAUUUAAUUAAUCGAAACAUAUUACCCAUCGCUAUAGCGAAGUGAUCGCAUCUACUAAUUAGGCUCGUGUAAAAUUAGUGGGUCAGUCGAUGUGUAUGUACGUAGUAUCCCGUCUUGCUCCUGUGCCGUCUCGCGAGACUUCUUGUCAUCGGUGGACAGUACUUACGUGAUACAGAAGUUAUUUCUACAAUUAGAUAUUACCGUUAUUCUAACUAUUACAAUUAUUAUAAUUUUAUUCUUUGAAUACUCAUUAAAAUGCAAGAAUGAAUAGAUACAAUUUGAUUCUUCAGUUAAUUUGUUAUAUAUCAGGUUUCUUGCAACUGUUGCACCAGUCAACGCUUAUAUGAUGUUGCAUAUUUUAUCUUCCUACAAUAUAAGAAAAAAAUAAAAAUAUAGUUUAGUAAUUGUUAUAAUACAGUAUCACGUGUUAAGCUUGUUAAAAACUUAUCUUAUUUUACGUAAUUAUUUUUAGUAGUGUAUUUGUGAGAUUUUUCUGAUUAAAACAAGUUCAAACAUGACAUAAUUUGAAUUACAGUUAGGUUUUAAGUAAAUAAGUAAAAAUAAUGGUGUCCUUUCUUUCCUGGUUCUUUGCUUUUUUUAACUUUGUUCCUAUGGCGCCCCGGCGCCUGGGCCUCUUUCCUGCGAUGGCCGCAAAGUGUCGCGCGUGUAACUUCCAUCCUUUCUCGUAAGUGCUCUAUCACGGACCUUGUUGAUAUAUAUAUAAGGUCUGUGAACAUACAAUCCAGGCCCGUCUGGGCUAGGGACCGUCCACACCAUCAGCCCCACUGACGAGUUUCUAGUGAGACGGUUGUCGAGACGGGAGGGAGGGAGACACACCCCAUUAUAUAUAAUUUCGUCUCACGAUGAGUCCGAAAUGAAGCAGAAUUUUAUCUCAUUGAUAAAGAAUGAAUAAAUGCGAAAAAUUCCCCGAAAUGGGUUAAAUUAUAAAUCGAAACUAUAUUGACGGCCUCGAAUUUUGGACGAAUAUGCCGUCGUCGGAUUGGCACGUUAUGUGCAAAAUAUUCCACUGAAGACCGUCAUUUGUGUAUCCCACGAUUAUAUUGGGAUUAGUGCCACCUACAAGGUGGUACAAUAUACGGACAAGAAUGCGAAAAAUUAAGCCGGUGAACGAAAAAAGCACGUUGGAGCUUCACCAGAUGGACUUAUAGACGAAGGAGGGGCAUUGUGGAAACCAAAUGUCCCAAAACGGCGGAGAAUUUAUUGCCGGAGGAGGCAACCAAAAGUGUUGCAGUUAUUCGCCGUAUAUUUGCAGAUGCACAAGGAAAAACACAUUAAACAAACAACCAUUAAUAUUUUUAUUACUUACUACCAGCUACAAGGACAAUCACAUGUCAUAGAUAGCCGGUACAAUAGGGGAAUGCCCAUUCAGGAGGCUCAAUUUAUAACAGAGGAGAGAGCAAGUUUAGAAAAGUGCAAAAGGUCUCCCGCAGAAAGUAGCACGAAUACUGCUACUGUCCGGCACUGUAAAGUGCAGUACCACUGACUCUGUUAGUGGUUCACAGUUGCAUGAAAUAGCAAUUGUACUCGCGGAUUAUACGAUCCCUGUGAGUUACGCGACGCCAUACUAUCUUUCUUUGUUUUGUUUAAAAAAUUUGUUACAGAUUUUAGAAGGAAGGAUUCCCGAGAAGAAGUUUUUUGGAGUGAAGCGAGCGUAGAACUCAAAAACUAGAUUAUGCCCCGAUGCGUCUACAACAGUAGCUACUGAAUUUCCAUGACUGCUUUUUUUUCUUAUAAAACAUUAAUUAUUGUAUUUCAGAUAAAAAAUAUAGGUAAAUGUUCGGAAGUGUCACUCCUGUCAGAAUCGAGCUGAUUUUUUUUUGUGUGGUUUUUUACAGUUAACAAACAUCAUAUUUAAUAUUAUUAUGGCAGCGCAUCAACAAAAACAAUGUCAAUAAAUAUUUUUUUAAAGUUUUUUUUUUUAUCCCCCACGAGUUGAACAGUAACAUUUAAUUCGUUUUGCUGACUGGGGGGCUCAGCUCCCCAGACCCCCCUAAAUACUACACUAACUAAUACCGAUACCCAUUUUUAAUAUAAGGAACUGAUAAACACAAUAUACAAAGUAACAUAUUUAUCGGUAUUAGUUAGUGUAGUUAUUAGGGGGGCCUGGAGGGCACGGCCCCCCCAAUCAGCAAAACGAAUUUAAUAUAUUACUGUUCAACUCGUGGGGGAUGUUUUGUUUUUUGUUAACAUCUGGAAUUGCCGUGUUAAUACCCCAAAAUUCGGACGACGUGAUUACCACAGGGCUGGUUAUAUUGCUGACUUUCUAUUUCGUCGAGUUUUCACCGUGCACAGUGAACGCGUACAUGGCAUUUUCGAUGUUAUUCAGCAAUUUUAUAAUGAAGAAUUGUCAAAAUAGUUUGUAUGUCUAUUGUAUUUUAAAAGAACAGAAU